CAGCCACAUCAUGUUGAAACACCGGUUCCUGCACGACCACCAAAGUUAAGCAAUGUUGAGCCUGGUCAGUACCAAGAUAGGUGACUGCUUGGGAAUACCAGAUACUGUAA